UAUCUUCUGUAUGCUGAAAAAAAGUUAGAAGUGAAGUCUUCACAGAUGGUCCUAUUCUUAAUGUAUGCAGGCACACACUGAAGCUUCUAAAAUUGCUUGCUGGUAUUCUGGUUGCAAACAUUCUGCAUAUACUGCUGUGUCUUUCUUUAUGUGAGACAACUGAGCCAUCUCAUCUGAUUGACAGAGGCAUUACUGCUAAGGAAUAGAAUUCAGUUUUCAAUAAGCCAUGGCUUUAAUUUUUUUUUUUUUCAUUUUAAUUUUCACCAUGACUACCAUAUUAGAAUGAACUCAAGGUGCUUCUCAAGCUGGCCACUUCUUUACCUUUAUCUAGGAGUUACUCAUGCUUUUCUUGUUUUCUUAACCGAGUUUUGAAAGCAUGUAAAACUUUAUGUAAAGAGAAGAAAAUGUGUCUUGAAGUACAAAUUUCCACAGACAAUUUUAGCAAAAUGUAUGGCAUUAUUACAGGGAAGUCUAAUCAGAGUUAUGCAAACCCCUAUGGGAAAAAUAAGUUUUUAUAGAGAACAGUAAUGUUCAUCACAGUUUUUACUGUUAAUUGUCAGAGUAACUGCUUUCAUAAGAUUUCAUAACCUGUAAUUUUUGUACAUAUGAUAGCUAUAGUUAAAGCAUUUGUUUUCUUUUGGUUUGGCAAUGUUCAUUCCAUUCUGGCUUUGGGGCUUGUAAUAGUUAACAUUUUAGUGCCAAUUUGAGAAAGCCUCCAACUUCAAUUUCAUCGUUAUUCACCAGACCUAAAAUGUUUUAGUAAUUCUCUCCAAGAAUUCUCUCCAAGAAUUGUUCCAAAGCUACAGCUCUGUUUCAACCUCCUAGUUCAAACUCCUGAUAAGAUCUUACUGCUUUCUGAAUAAAAUAAAAAUAAUUUCUCAGCCAAAGAGAAAUAUUUGGAUUUAUCCAUAGAGUCUCUUUUAUUUUUCACGUACUAGUAGUUGGUGCAUUCCAUUACACAUUAAAACUGAGCAUCAUCUCUAAUCUCUUAGUUGAUUUUCAAAUAGGUUUCAGUUUCUGGUUUUCUGUACUAAAACAGCUCCAUCUCCACCACUUACCUCUACAUUUCUAAUUUCAUAAUCCCAUAUUGUUUCUGUAAUUUAGAACAUUCUCCUCAUUUGUCUCUGUUGUCCUCUUCUAUUUUGAACUUUAUACCUAUCUUUCAAGUUCACUAAGCAGGUUCUUUGUUCACUGAGCACUUUACUAACACUCCUUUCUUAACUCUCAAUCAUAGGGUACAAACAUACAUGUAAAGUUCAAGUGGCAGUAACUUCACACAUGAGGUUACAGUUAUGGGAUCAAAAUUAAUUUAAUGUAGGGGAACAUAUGAACAAAGGUAGGUUAAUUCGGAAUGAACUAACAGCUUAAACAACAAUUACCUAAAAUCAUUAGAAAUUAAUGUAAAUACAUACAUGGAGGUUUUCUGUGAUUUAUCAAAAUAGUUUUAAAACAAAUUUAGAUAAACUAGUACAGCUUUCUUACAUGUUUUCUGGGAAGUGCCAUUCCUAGCCAGCACUGGAUUACGCAUUUUUAGAAGAGCUAGCUGUACUUUGUCCCAUCUGGUGGUUUACCUCUAAAGUAAGAAAGCUUCAACUGCAUAUUUGCAGUAUACUGCAACUCAUUACCAGGAAGAUAUACAUGUAUUAGUC